rnacentral:siRNA from 1 species
AUUAGACGGUGGGCUUCCAACCUA